GCUCCGGCGCAAAGAGAGGCCCAAGUGAGAUUAGCUAGUUGGUAAGGUAACGGCUUACCAAGGCGACGAUCUCUAGCUGUUCUGAGAGGAAGAUCAGCCACACUGGGACUGAGACACGGCCCAGACUCCUACGGGAGGCAGCAGUGGGGAAUAUUGCACAAUGGGGGAAACCCUGAUGCAGCCAUGCCGCGUGUGUGAAGAAGGCCUUCGGGUUGUAAAGCACUUUCAGUUGUGAGGAAAAGUUAGUAGUUAAUACCUGCUAGCCGUGACGUUAACAACAGAAGAAGCACCGGCUAACUCCGUGCCAGCAGCCGCGGUAAUACGGAGGGUGCGAGCGUUAAUCGGAAUUACUGGGCGUAAAGCGCACGCAGGCGGUUUGUUAAGCUAGAUGUGAAAGCCCCGGGCUCAACCUGGGAUGGUCAUUUAGAACUGGCAGACUAGAGUCUUGGAGAGGGGAGUGGAAUUCCAGGUGUAGCGGUGAAAUGCGUAGAUAUCUGGAGGAACAUCAGUGGCGAAGGCGACUCCCUGGCCAAAGACUGACGCUCAUGUGCGAAAGUGUGGGUAGCGAACAGGAUUAGAUACCCUGGUAGUCCACACCGUAAACGCUGUCUACUAGCUGUGUGUGCCUUUAAGGCGUGCGUAGCGAAGCUAACGCGCUAAGUAGACCGCCUGGGGAGUACGGCCGCAAGGUUAAAACUCA
rnacentral:rRNA from 1 species